GUCAUCAUUACAUUUCUAAACCCUCUCUUGAAAAGGUGUAGAGGAAUUGUCUCAUACCCAAGUCUUAGUUGCCUUAAGUUCUCUAAAUUUCAUUGUUGACAUCUCUGUCCCAGCUUUGAGCGUGAGCGGUAAAGCUGCUCCAUUCUAAGCUAAAGAUCAUAGUUUCAAGACACAGUAACAGUCUGCUGGGAGCAGUAAGACUGAGAUGAGGGUGCCAAAUGGCUCAUUCAUUUGGAUGUGGAUAAUCUACAGGUCAAGGAAUGCGUGAGCAUGCAACAUUUGAAUGCAGCAAAGGUCAAGCGGCUUGACAGGGAAGUCAUCAUCAUAUCUUUUUCUCAGUUCUGGCUUUUCUAUAAAAAAUCCUUCCAAAAAACUCGCAUUCGUGUUAUGCUAAAAGCUUUCAUAAGAAGAAUGUAAUCCCAGGUUCUUGUUUGGCAUUUUUAAGAGUCUCCAAGAGUAAUUUGGUUGAAA